rnacentral:rRNA from 1 species
CAAUAGCGUAUAUUAAAGUUGUUGCAGUUAAAAAGCUCGUAGUUGGAUUUCUGGACGGAGCAGCCGGUCCGCUUCUUUGUAAGUGUGCACUAGCGCUUCUCUGUCCAUCCUUGCGGAGAACGCACUCUGAAAUUAGUUUUUUGGGGUCGGGACCCGCAUCUUUUACUGUGAAAAAAUUAGAGUGUUUAAAGCAGGCUUACGCUUUGAAUACAUUAGCAUGGAAUAAUAAAAUAGGACUUUGGUGCUAUUUUGUUGGUUUGCACACCAAGGUAAUGAUUAAUAGGGAUAGUUGGGGGUAUUCAUAUUUAAUUGUCAGAGGUGAAAUUCUUGGAUUUAUGAAAGAUGAACUACUGCGAAAGCAUUUACCAAGGAUGUUUUCAUUA